rnacentral:tRNA from 1 species
CAGAAAAUAGUUUAUUUAAAAAUUUUAAUUUUGGAGAUUAAAGAUAGAAAAUUUUUUCUUUUUCUGA